AGAGUUUGAUCCUGGCUCAGAACGAACGCUGGCGGCGUGCCUAACACAUGCAAGUCGAACGUGAUCCAGAGCUUGCUCUGGUGAAAGUGGCGCACGGGUGAGUAACGCGUGGAUAACCUACCCUGGUAUCCGGGAUAACAUUCCGAAAGGGGUGCUAAUACCGGAUAAGCCCACGGGCUCUUUGGAGCUUGCGGGAAAAGGUGGCCUCUAUUUAUAAGCUACUGUAUCAGGAUGGGUCCGCGUACCAUUAGCUAGUUGGCGGUGUAACGGACCACCAAGGCGACGAUGGUUAGCUGGUCUGAGAGGAUGAUCAGCCACACUGGAACUGAGACACGGUCCAGACUCCUACGGGAGGCAGCAGUGGGGAAUUUUGCGCAAUGGGGGAAACCCUGACGCAGCAACGCCGCGUGAGUGAUGAAGGCCUUUGGGUCGUAAAGCUCUGUCAGAGGGGAAGAAAUGAUAUAGUGCUAAUACCACUUUAUCUUGACGGUACCCUCAAAGGAAGCACCGGCUAACUCCGUGCCAGCAGCCGCGGUAA
rnacentral:rRNA from 1 species